AUAUUGGACAAUGGGCGCAAGCCUGAUCCAGCUAUGCCGCGUGGGUGAUGAAGGCCUUCGGGUUGUAAAGCCCUGUCGGGAGGGACGAAACCCUUACGGGUUGACGGUACCUCGCAAGAAAGCACCGGCUAACUCCGUGCCAGCAGCCGCGGUAAUACGGAGGGUGCAAGCGUUGCUCGGAAUUACUGGGCGUAAAGCGAACGCAGGCGGUUCAUUAAGUCGGGCGUGAAAGCCCCGGGCUCAACCUGGGAAUUGCACCCGAUACUGGUGAACUUGAGUCUGAGAGAGGGAAGCGGAAUUCCUGGUGUAGAGGUGAAAUUCGUUGAUAUCAGGAGGAACACCGGCGGCGAAGGCGGCUUCCUGGCUCAGUACUGACGCUCAUGUUCGAAAGCGUGGGGAGCGAAC
rnacentral:rRNA from 1 species